rnacentral:rRNA from 1 species
UACGUAGGGUGCAAGCGUUGUCCGGAAUUAUUGGGCGUAAAGAGCGUGUAGGCGGCCUCGUAAGUCCGCUGUGAAAGUCCAGGGCUCAACCCUGGAAAGCCGGUGGAUACUGCGAGGCUAGAGUCCGGAAGGGGCGAGUGGAAUUCCUGGUGUAGCGGUGAAAUACGUAGAUAUCAGGAGGAAUACCGGAGGCGAAGGCGGCUUACCAGCCAGACACUGACACUCAGACCCGAAAGCUAGGGGAGCAAACAGG